GACAGAGGAUGCAAGCGUUAUCCGGAAUGAUUGGACGUAAAGCGUCUGUAGGUGGCUUUUUAAGUCUGCCGUCAAAUCCCAGGGCUUAACCCUGGACAGGCGGUGGAAACUACCAAGCUGGAGUCCGGAAGAGGCGAGUGGAAUUCCUGGUGUAGCGGUGAAAUGCGUAGAUAUCGGGAGGAAUACCUAUGGCGAAAGCAGUCUCUGGACCAUCACUGACGCUGAUCUGCGAAAGCUAGGGGAGCAAACAGG
rnacentral:rRNA from 1 species